rnacentral:rRNA from 1 species
UACGUAGGGUGCAAGCGUUGUCCGGAAUUAUUGGGCGUAAAGAGCUCGUAGGCGGUUUGUCGCGUCGAAUGUGAAAACCCGGGGCUCAACCCCGGGCCUGCAUUCGAUACGGGCAGACUAGAGUUCGGUAGGGGAGUCUGGAAUUCCUGGUGUAGCGGUGAAAUGCGCAGAUAUCAGGAGGAACACCGGUGGCGAAGGCGGGUAGCUGGGCCGACACUGACGCUGAGGCGCGAAAGCCAGGGGAGCGAACGGG